rnacentral:rRNA from 1 species
GAUGAACGCUAGCGGCAGGCUUAAUACAUGCAAGUCGAACGGUAAGGUCUCUUCGGAGAUACACGAGUGGCGCACGGGUGCGUAACGCGUAUGCAACCUACCCUAAACAGGAGGAUACCCCGAAGAAAUUCGGAAUAAUAUUCCAUAAGAUCAUUAGUUCGCAUGAAUAGAUGAUAAAAGCUCCGGCGGUUUAGGAUGGGCAUGCGUGACAUUAGUUAGUUGGUGAGGUAACGGCUCACCAAGACUACGAUGUCUAGGGGUUCUGAGAGGAUGAUCCCCCACACUGGUACUGAGACACGGACCAGACUCCUACGGGAGGCAGCAGUAAGGAAUAUUGGUCAAUGGACGGAAGUCUGAACCAGCCAUGCCGCGUGCAGGAUGAAGGCCUUAUGGGUUGUAAACUGCUUUUGUACAGGAAGAAACCUCUUUACGUGUAGAGAGCUGACGGUACUGUAAGAAUAAGCACCGGCUAACUCCGUG